rnacentral:rRNA from 1 species
UACAGAGGUCUCAAGCGUUGUUCGGAUUCAUUGGGCGUAAAGGGUGCGUAGGCGGCGCGGUAAGUCGGGUGUGAAAUCUUGGAGCUUAACUCCGAAACUGCAUUCGAUACUGCCGUGCUUGAGGACUGGAGAGGAGACUGGAAUUUACGGUGUAGCGGUGAAAUGCGUAGAUAUCAGGAAGAACACCCGUGGCGAAGGCGGUUCUCUGGGACGGUACUGACGCUGAGACGCGAAAGCGUGGGGAGCGAACAGG